rnacentral:rRNA from 1 species
GGGAAUCUACCGUGCCCUGCGGAAUAGCUCCGGGAAACUGGAAUUAAUACCGCAUACGCCCUACGGGGGAAAGAUUUAUCGGCAAAGGAUGAGCCCGCGUUGGAUUAGCUAGUUGGUGGGGUAAAGGCCUACCAAGGCGACGAUCCAUAGCUGGUCUGAGAGGAUGAUCAGCCACAUUGGGACUGAGACACGGCCCAAACUCCUACGGGAGGCAGCAGUGGGGAAUAUUGGACAAUGGGCGCAAGCCUGAUCCAGCCAUGCCGCGUGUGUGAUGAAGGCCUUAGGGUUGUAAAGCACUUUCACCGGUGAAGAUAAUGACGGUAACCGGAGAAGAAGCCCCGGCUAACUUCGUGCCAGCAGCCGCGGUAAUACGAAGGGGGCUAGCGUUGUUCGGAAUUACUGGGCGUAAAGCGCACGUAGGCGGAUAUUUAAGUCAGGGGUGAAAUCCCAGAGCUCAACUCUGGAACUGCCUUUGAUACUGGGUAUCUUGAGUAUGGAAGAGGUGAGUGGAAUUCCGAGU